rnacentral:rRNA from 1 species
CCUACGGGGGGCAGCAGUGGGGAAUAUUGGACAAUGGGCGAAAGCCUGAUCCAGCCAUGCCGCGUGUGUGAAGAAGGCCUUCGGGUUGUAAAGCACUUUCAGUGGGGAAGAAAGCCUUGGGGCUAAUACCCUCGAGGAAGGACAUCACCCACAGAAGAAGCACCGGCUAACUCCGUGCCAGCAGCCGCGGUAAUACGGAGGGGGCGAGCGUUAAUCGGAAUUACUGGGCGUAAAGCGCGCGUAGGCGGUCUGAUAAGCCGGUUGUGAAAGCCCCGGGCUCAACCUGGGAACGGCAUCCGGAACUGUCAGGCUAGAGUGCAGGAGAGGAAGGUAGAAUUCCCGGUGUAGCGGUGAAAUGCGUAGAGAUCGGGAGGAAUACCAGUGGCGAAGGCGGCCUUCUGGACUGACACUGACGCUGAGGUGCGAAAGCGUGGGUAGCAAACAGGAUUAGAUACCCCUGUAGUC